rnacentral:rRNA from 1 species
GUCCACGCUGUAAACGAUGGGCACUAGGUGUCCGGGGUAUUGACCCCCUGGGUGCCGCAGCUAACGCAUUAAGUGCCCCGCCUGGGGAGUACGGUCGCAAGAUUAAAACUCAAAGGAAUUGACGGGGGCCCGCACAAGCGGUGGAGCAUGUGGUUCAAUUCUACGCAACGCGAAGAACCUUACCUGGGCUAGACAACGGUGGACAGCCCUAGAAAUAGGGUUUCCCUUCGGGGACUGCCGGUUCAGGUGCUGCAUGGCUGUCGU